CACACACACUCACCCCACCCAUGCCCUACCAGGGUUCCGCCCAUAGCAGCAGAUGGCCGUGCCGUCCCCAAGCCGCACAUGACCGCGCCGCCCCCAGCAGCCGUUGGCCGCGCCGCUCCCAGCCCGCACCUCGUCCUGAAGACACUUCGCUCCCCCGUCAUCCAACCCCCGAGCUCGCUGCCAGUACAAAACCCUAGUCCGUCGUGUUCUUCGUAAGGCGCCAGUUCUUGGACUUUCUGAUACUCAUGUCGUGCGAAGAUCAUAGCUGGAUGUACAAUCGAUGGGAUGAGAAUGGUCAUUCCCAUAUGUAGUUGUUAAAGCCUCUCCAAAUCCCGCUUCGAGCCUCAUAAGAAGCUUUGGUCCAUGGAGUAGACGACCCUAGUGAUACAAUCAACAGGAUUGCUUGAGAAAUGUUUCAUGGAUAUGUCGAUGCAUCCAGUACUGGUGUUGGUACAACUUUUCUCCUUUGGAUGAUGAUCACGCUAGCACCAUUUUGUGGUCAGCCAUGGACCCAGUACUUGUGGAAAAAUUUCCUUUGGCAAGUGAUGCAUGUUCCUUUCAUAUAUGGAACAACUCAAGUCUAAGUGGAUGCUAAACCUUGUUGUAUGUACUUCUAUAUGCAUGGGUAGUGGUGGUCCGUGCAUAGCUGUUGAUUUUGGGUGGGUCCUGCUAGUCUCGUGUGCAUUUGAACUAUGUGUUUGAUGAUAAUUGAAAUUUGGUGUAAUUUGAUCUCA